AUUUAGAGGAAGUAAAAGUCGUAACAAGGUCUCCGUUGGUGAACCAGCGGAGGGAUCAUUACUGAGUUUACGCUCUACAACCCUUUGUGAACAUACCUACAACUGUUGCUUCGGCGGGUAGGGUCUCCGCGACCCUCCCGGCCUCCCGCCUCCGGGCGGGUCGGCGCCCGCCGGAGGAUAACCAAACUCUGAUUUAACGACGUUUCUUCUGAGUGGUACAAGCAAAUAAUCAAAACUUUUAACAACGGAUCUCUUGGUUCUGGCAUCGAUGAAGAACGCAGCGAAAUGCGAUAAGUAAUGUGAAUUGCAGAAUUCAGUGAAUCAUCGAAUCUUUGAACGCACAUUGCGCCCGCCAGCAUUCUGGCGGGCAUGCCUGUUCGAGCGUCAUUUCAACCCUCAAGCUCUGCUUGGUGUUGGGGCCCUACAGCCGAUGUAGGCCCUCAAAGGUAGUGGCGGACCCUCCCGGAGCCUCCUUUGCGUAGUAACUUUACGUCUCGCACUGGGAUCCGGAGGGACUCUUGCCGUAAAACCCCCCAAUUUUCCAAAGGUUGACCUCGGAUCAGGUAGGAAUACCCGCUGAACUUAAGCAUAUCA
rnacentral:rRNA from 1 species